rnacentral:lncRNA from 1 species
AAAAACAAUGCCACAGUGGCCAAUAAAUACACAGACAGUAUCAUAGUACAACAUACACCUUUGGUGAGACGCCGGCUCCGUAUGAACAGCUCAAUUUUUCUUUAAUAUCCUCUAGACCCGGUUUCUUGUACUCAUGCCUAAUUAAGGUGGUGAUGGCGAAGGUGAGGAUGGCGGCUUGAGAUCCGGAUACUGCACGCGGAUGAAAGAAUGAUGAGCGUGGCCUGAUGAAUCAAGUGCUUUUUUACAAAUGGCAAUGGAGUUUUAGAUGUGUACUUACAUUAGGGUAUGGUGACAGAGGUCUGGGGCGGGCAGGAGGUGCCGAGUUGACCGACGCCGGGGCUUCAGUGGCGGUGCUCUCAACCUUCACCUCGGCUUCAGCCUCCGCAGAGGGUGCUGAAGGGGGUGUUGGUGGUUUGAGAUCUGGG